CUUAGCUCAGCUGGUAGAGCAGCUGAUUUGUAAUCUGCAGGUCGUCGGUUCGAGUCCGACA
rnacentral:tRNA from 1 species